rnacentral:snRNA from 1 species
GUGCUGGCUUCAGCAGCACAUAUACUAAAAUUGGAAUGAUACAGAGAUUAGCGUGGCCCCUGUGCAGGGGUGACACACAAAUUCAUGAAGCAUUCCUUUAAAAA